rnacentral:rRNA from 1 species
GGGCCCGCACAAGCGGAGGAACAUGUGGUUUAAUUCGAUGAUACGCGAGGAACCUUACCCGGGCUUGAAAUGUAUCUGACCGAGGUGGAAACACCUUUUCUAGCAAUAGCAGAUAUGUAGGUGCUGCAUGGUUGUCGUCAGCUCGUGCCGUGAGGUGUCGGCUUAAGUGCCAUAACGAGCGCAACCCUUGUCUAUAGUUACUAACAGGUUAUGCUGAGGACUCUAUGGAGACUGCCAAUCGUAAGAUGUGAGGAAGGUGGGGAUGACGUCAAAUCAGCACGGCCCUUACGUCCGGGGCUACACACGUGUUACAAUGGGGGGUACAGCAGGUUGCUACCUGGUGACAGGAUGCUAAAUCCGUUAAAACCUCUCUCAGUUCGGAUCGAAGUCUGCAACCCGACUUCGUGAAGCUGGAUUCGCUAGUAAUCGCGCAUCAGCCACGGCG